rnacentral:rRNA from 1 species
GUGGGGAAUCUUGCACAAUGGGGGAAACCCUGAUGCAGCGACGCCGCGUGAGCGAUGAAGCCCUUCGGGGUGUAAAGCUCUUUCGACGGGAACGAUAAUGACGGUACCCGGAGAAGAAGCUGCGGCUAACUACGUGCCAGCAGCCGCGGUAAUACGUAGGCAGCAAGCGUUGUUCGGAAUUACUGGGCGUAAAGAGUGCGUAGGCGGUGCUCUAAGUUUGGUGUGAAAUCUCCCGGCUUAACUGGGAGGGUGCGCCGAAGACUGGAGAACUUGAGUGUGGGAGAGGAAAGCGGAAUUCCUGGUGUAGCGGUGAAAUGCGUAGAUAUCAGGAGGAACACCUGCGGUGUAGACAGCUUUCUGGACCACCACUGACGCUGAGGCACGAAAGCGUGGGUAGCAAACAGGAUUAGAAACCCCUGUAGUCC